CCUACGGGGGGCAGCAGUGGGGAAUAUUGGGCAAUGGGCGCAAGCCUGACCCAGCAAUGCCGCGUGAAGGAAGAAGGCUUUCGGGUUGUACACUUCUUUGACAGGGGAAGAGCAGAAGACGGUACCUGACUAAGACGCCCCGGCUAACUACGUGCCAGCAGCCGCGGUAAUACGUAGGGGGCAAGCGUUAUCCGGAUUUACUGGGUGUAAAGGGAGCGUAGACGGUUAUGCAAGUCUGAAGUGAAAGCCCAAGGCUCAACCAUGGGACUGCUUUGGAAACUGUAAAACUGGAGUGCAGGAGAGGUAAGCGGAAUUCCUAGUGUAGCGGUGAAAUGCGUAGAUAUUAGGAGGAACACCAGUGGCGAAGGCGGCUUACUGGACUGUAACUGACGUUGAGGCUCGAAGGCGUGGGGAGCAAACAGGAUUAGAUACCCUUGUAGUC
rnacentral:rRNA from 1 species